AGAACGAACGCUGGCGGCAUGCCUAACACAUGCAAGUCGAACGAGACCUUCGGGUCUAGUGGCGCACGGGUGCGUAACGCGUGGGAAUCUGCCCUGGGGUACGGAACAACAGUUAGAAAUGACUGCUAAUACCGUAUGAUGACGUAAGUCCAAAGAUUUAUCGCCCUGGGAUGAGCCCGCGUAGGAUUAGCUUGUUGGUGAGGUAAAGGCUCACCAAGGCGACGAUCCUUAGCUGGUCUGAGAGGAUGAUCAGCCACACUGGGACUGAGACACGGCCCAGACUCCUACGGGAGGCAGCAGUGGGGAAUAUUGGACAAUGGGCGAAAGCCUGAUCCAGCAAUGCCGCGUGAGUGAUGAAGGCCCUAGGGUUGUAAAGCUCUUUACCCGGGAUGAUAAUGACAGUACCGGGAGAAUAAGCCCCGGCUAACUCCGCGCCAGCAGCCGC
rnacentral:rRNA from 1 species